rnacentral:rRNA from 1 species
GCUCGAGUGGCGAACGGGUGAGCAACACGUGAGUAACCUGCCCUUGACUUCGGGAUAACUUCAGGAAACUGGGGCUAAUACCGGAUAGGAAUCCUUGCUGCAUGGUGGGGGUUGGAAAGCUUCGGCGGUUUUGGAUGGACUCGCGGCUUAUCAGCUUGUUGGUGGGGUAGUGGCUUACCAAGGCUUUGACGGGUAGCCGGCCUGAGAGGGCGACCGGCCACAUUGGGACUGAGAUACGGCCCAG